UUUCUCUUCUGUUCUCCUUUUUUUUUAUCAUCAGUCUUAUAGAUUAACGGGUUUUUGUUAGAUUAUUGAAAUUUUGAUGCCAGGGAGAGUUCCUUUUUUUAGCUUGAAUCAUGUUAACAUUGGAUUAUAUUUUAGGUUAUGCUUAAUGGGUUUGUUUUAUACUGGUGAAUUGCAUGUAAUGAUAACUGGGUUUUUCUGAAUUUGUAAUCAAAUCUAUGUAUGCUAUGUAGUACGUAGGUUGCUUACUGAUGCUCAUUUGUUUUGCAUCCAGUUGCAAGAUUUAGCGAUGACUCAUUGAAUUAACUUGAUGUUAUGAGUAAUUGAAGUUUAAUACGGCUAUGGCAUGAGUUGAUUGAAGUUAGUUUGUAGUAAAUUGAUGGCGUGGAGAUGGUAUUUACACGGGUUUUUUUAUACUAGAAAAUGAACGUGUCUCAUGUCUAAGUAAUUUGUAAAGCUUAAAAAGAUUGAAAAUGUUUGGUAUCAUUAGGAAUUUUUUCUUAAAUUUUGUGAUCGCCAGCUGCUUGGGUAAAGAAAGUGGGGUGGGGGAAAGAGUCUUAACAAAAUCCGUCAUUUUAUAUGUUUCUUUGGAAAAAGGAAAAUACAUGCUUGCCUCAUCAUGUUGUUAUAUGUGCUUGUAAUGCUUUAUUUGGAGGUUAUUAUAGAUUUGGAUGGGAUUUAAUGCAUCUCAGGUAACAAGCUUGUUAUGCUGUGAUCUUCAUUUUUCCUACUCAUCUUUUGCUUGUUCGUGUAAAUAAUAAUAAUAAUAAAAAAGAAUUAUAUAUGAGCUGUUAUUGAGUGAUCUUUGUGUUAGCUCUACACAAAAGCAUCUUUGUUAAAACUGUGCCUUACACCAUGCUGUUGAUGCAAGGCAUAAAGUGUCAAUACUACAACAUUUCUUAAAGUGUAGGUAAGGUGCCUUAACUGGGCAAGCAUGUAUACCUCAAACAUGUGCCAUCAAAUCGAUGAUAUUUGUUGAAUUUUUGUAGUUAUGGCAUAGCAUGCUGAACCAAUUAGUUUAUUUAUUUAUUUUUCCUUGUAUGAUGUUUUGCUAUUGUGCAUUAUCUUUCUUGUAAGAAUUGUAGCACAUUUUAUUUGAAAGAUACAUGUCUUGCUCUAAACAACAUGCUAAAUAGACUUAAUAAGUUAUUAAUUUUUCCAGCCUUUUUUCUUAUUAUGUUUUUAUGAAUCAUUAUCAUGUAAACGAUUUAUUAUAUUUCAAAGCUGUGUUUUAUUUCCUCAAGUUUACACCAUGUCUUAAGCCUUCAACUUCCAUCCUAGAUCUGUUGUUGCUUAACUGCAUAUAGCACUUUCAACAACACAGUGCAGAAGCUAAUGAAUAAGAAAAGGUGGAACCUGUCUCUGGAAAACCAAGUCUUAAAGAUUGGGUUUCUUCUCCAACUUGCAAUUUAUAUAUACAUAUAUAUAU